AUUGAACGCUGGCGGCAUGCCUUACACAUGCAAGUCGAACGGCAGCACGGGGGCAACCCUGGUGGCGAGUGGCGAACGGGUGAGUAACAUAUCGGAACGUGCCCUGGAGUGGGGGAUAACUAGUCGAAAGAUUAGCUAAUACCGCAUACGAUCUACGGAUGAAAGUGGGGGAUCGCAAGACCUCAUGCUCGUGGAGCGGCCGAUAUCUGAUUAGCAGUUGGUGGGGUAAAGGCCUACCAAGGCAUCGAUCAGUAGCUGGUCUGAGAGGACGACCAGCCACACUGGGACUGAGACACGGCCCAGACUCCUACGGGAGGCAGCAGUGGGGAAUUUUGGAC
rnacentral:rRNA from 1 species